rnacentral:rRNA from 1 species
CAGCAGUGGGGAAUAUUGCACAAUGGGCGCAAGCCUGAUGCAGCCAUGCCGCGUGUGUGAAGAAGGCCUUCGGGUUGUAAAGCACUUUCAGUCGUGAGGAAGGUAGUGUAGUUAAUAGCUGCAUUAUUUGACGUUAGCGACAGAAGAAGCACCGGCUAACUCCGUGCCAGCAGCCGCGGUAAUACGGAGGGUGCGAGCGUUAAUCGGAAUUACUGGGCGUAAAGCGCAUGCAGGUGGUUUGUUAAGUCAGAUGUGAAAGCCCGGGGCUCAACCUCGGAAUUGCAUUUGAAACUGGCAGACUAGAGUACUGUAGAGGGGGUAGAAUUUCAGGUGUAGCGGUGAAAUGCGUAGAGAUCUGAAGGAAUACCGGUGGCGAAGGCGGCCCCCUGGACAGAUACUGACACUCAGAUGCGAAAGCGUGGGGAGCAAACAGGAUUAGAUACCCUGGUAG